GGGUUGUGAGGUUAAGCGACUAAGCGUACACGGUGGAUGCCCUGGCAGUCAGAGGCGAUGAAGGACGUGCUAAUCUGCGAAAAGCGUCGGUAAGGUGAUAUGAACCGUUAUAACCGGCGAUGUCCGAAUGGGGAAACCCAGUGCAAUUCGUUGCACUAUCGUUAACUGAAUACAUAGGUUAACGAGGCGAACCGGGGGAACUGAAACAUCUAAGUACCCCGAGGAAAAGAAAUCAACCGAGAUUCCCCCAGUAGCGGCGAGCGAACGGGGAGCAGCCCAGAGUCUGAAUCAGCUUGUGUGUUAGUGGAACGGUCUGGAAAGUCCGACGGUACAGGGUGAUAGUCCCGUACACCAAAAUGCACAGGUUGUGAACUCGAAGAGUAGGGCGGGACACGUGGUAUCCUGUCUGAAUAUGGGGGGACCAUCCUCCAAGGCUAAAUACUCCUGACUGACCGAUAGUGAACCAGUACCGUGAGGGAAAGGCGAAAAGAACCCCGGCGAGGGGAGUGAAAAAGAACCUGAAACCGUGUACGUACAAGCAGUGGGAGCACCUUCGGGUGUGACUGCGUACCUUUUGUAUAAUGGGUCAGCGACUUAUAUUCUGUAGCAAGGUUAACCGUAUAGGGGAGCCGC
rnacentral:rRNA from 1 species